rnacentral:lncRNA from 1 species
GAAGAAACUGGCUGUCCAGAGUUUGGGCCCCACAAGCGCUUGACCGGAUUGCCAAAUCGGGCUCGCCAAAGGGUAGCGGCACGCCUGGAGUGAGCGUCGCCGAUACGACCACCCGGGGGGAACGACACGGCCGAUUGUUCCGACGGCGGUUGCGUCACCAUGCAGGAGCAAUCCCUCGCGGAUAAGCGCGCGGCGGCCAAGGGAGCGCGGUACGACCCCGAUACGACCCCGCCCCACCUCCCCACACCAGCCCGUCAGCCACCGCGGGCGAGCUCGAAUUAGAGGGUUAGCCCUGCGUCCUCCCGGGGCGCUGCGAGCGCCCCGAGCGUCGCGGCGGGCCAUCGCGCGAUUCCAUUCAUCGCGUGGAGAGGUCGCGCGGGCGAUCGCGCCGUCGUAUCGCGUGAAUUGGCGCACCCCCCGCGCGCCCCGCGCACCUCGCCGCGCCCCGCGACAACGACUACAAAUAAAUCCAACGAGAGAAGAACACCGCGAUCGAGCUCGACCGACUGACCUCCCCGUUCCCCCCCGUCCCCCCCGUCCCUCCGCAGCACCGGCGCGCACGACCCCGGGCCGGUGUACAAGCUCCGCCUACCGCCGGAGUUCCGCACGGGCACCGUCCGCAAAGGGUCCGGGGCGCUCGGCGGAAGCGCACGUCCGACCCAUCGCCCGGGCCCGCCCACCCCGUCGAGGGACCCGCGCGCGUCGUCGUCCUCCCCGCGAUCGAUCCGGGACGAGACCCCGCGCGCCGCCCGCGACGACGACGACGCCACGGACGAGCCGGUGCCGCGGUUCGAUCCGAACGACACCGGCGUCUUUCC